rnacentral:rRNA from 1 species
AGCGAACGCUGGCGGCAGGCUUAACACAUGCAAGUCGAGCGCCGUAGCAAUACGGAGCGGCAGACGGGUGAGUAACGCGUGGGAACGUACCUUUUGGUUCGGAACAACACAGGGAAACUUGUGCUAAUACCGAAUAAGCCCUUACGGGGAAAGAUUUAUCGCCGAAAGAUCGGCCCGCGUCUGAUUAGCUUGUUGGUGAGGUAACGGCUCACCAAGGCGACGAUCAGUAGCUGGUCUGAGAGGAUGAUCAGCCACAUUGGGACUGAGACACGGCCCAAACUCCUACGGGAGGCAGCAGUGGGGAAUAUUGGACAAUGGGCGCAAGCCUGAUCCAGCCAUGCCGCGUGGGUGAUGAAGGCCCUAGGGUUGUAAAGCUCUUUUGUGCGGGAAGAUAAUGACGGUACCGCAAGAAUAA